rnacentral:rRNA from 1 species
UACGUAGGGGGCAAGCGUUGUCCGGAAUCAUUGGGCGUAAAGCGCGUGUAGGCGGCUUGGUAAGUCCGCUCUGAAAGCCCGGGGCUCAACCCCGGGAGGCGGGUGGAUACUGUCAAGCUCGAGUCCGGAAGAGGCGAGUGGAAUUCCUGGUGUAGCGGUGAAAUGCGCAGAUAUCGGGAGGAACACCUAUGGCGAAGGCAGCUCGCUGGGACGUUACUGACGCUGAGACGCGAAAGCGUGGGGAGCAAACAGG